rnacentral:rRNA from 1 species
AUGGUUGUCGUCAGCUCGUGUCGUGAGAUGUUGGGUUAAGUCCCGCAACGAGCGCAACCCCUAUGUUAGUUGCCAUCAUUCAGUUGGGCACUCUAGCGAGACUGCCGGUAAUAAACCGGAGGAAGGUGGGGAUGACGUCAAAUCAUCAUGCCCCUUAUGACCUGGGCUACACACGUGCUACAAUGGUUGGUACAACGAGUUGUGAGUCGGUGACGGCGAGCUAAUCUCUUAAAGCCAAUCUCAGUUCGGAUUGUAGGCUGCAACUCGCCUACAUGAAGUCGGAAUCGCUAGUAAUCGCGGAUCAGCACGCCGCGGUGAAUACGUUCCCGGGCCUU